ensembl:lncRNA
GUUAAUGUGACCGUAUAGUACAGUAGGUGCUGAAACCGCAGAGUGUGCAUUGGACACAAGGCUCUGUGUGCAGAGGUGUGCGUGGGUGGCAGCAGCACAGUGCUCUCUCAGCCAGGUUUGGCACAGCUAGACUGUUUAGUGUCGUGAUGCCCUACAGUCAGCACUUUGCCAGUCAGACCCUCCUAUGGGACUGCUGAUCCCAAUUCAAUGAGGUUGGGUUAACCAAUUUCCAGGGCAGAGUUUUGGUCAUUGAUAACAGACUAGUGAACUGUUGCUGUUCUCUUUUUUUCACCUAUUGAGACCGUUAUGUAGCUGUUCUCAGAGCAUGCUUUUCAUAUUUAGAUUAGGAUUCUUUCAGUCAGGUAGACUGACCUGGGCCCCUGACUGGCUGUAGUUUACUGCCCCAGUGUUUUAGGCUUGACAAAAAUGGAUUAAGAAUCUCAAUCACAGAGCUUGCACCUGUUUUAAGAAGUGAGUAUGUCCUAAAGAAUCUGCGGUGGCCACGUGAUGUGUUGCUAGGAAGCAGUGUCCCAUGGCAACAGCUGAAGCAUAUGCCAGCACGAGGACUUUUCUAUGAGGAGAACAAGUCAACCUGUUCAUUGUAAGUUCCACAGUUCACCAAGCCAGCUCCGCCAUCAAGUUUCUGCUACCCUGGCUGGCUCACCUGGCUAACAUUACUAUGCACUAGUCCUGGUUGUUAGUUUGUUUGUUUGUUAAUAUUGUUUUUAAAUAAUGACCGAUAGCUUGGCAAAAUCAGGCGGAGGUUCCGAUAUCCUUUUGCAAUAACAAUCAUGGUCCUUAUCCUUGAUAUUAUACCAACUAUGGGGGUAUGUAAUCUCGCUGAGACCUACUUUCCAGGUCUCUGAUAACUAUAGGCUAUGGAAAAUUGUUUGUAUAAUUUGAACUUUGGUUAUUCAUACGUGUGUGUGUGUGUGUGUGUGUGUGUGUGUAUAUGCAGAGAGUCAGGUAGAAUCCAUUGUGUUCCAUGAUGCACUCCCGUGUACACUCGAAUGAUGGCGUUUUUAUCAUGCAUGAGGGUUUAAGUUAACCCCCGAUGCCCCCACCACCUCGUCCUCUAAUACCCAACUGUUGAACUUUUGGGACCAGUUUUUCCAACGGACCAACACCCAUUUUUUUAAUAAAAAAAAUAUAUAUAUAUCUCUUUUGAUUCCUGAAUCUCCUUCACGUGAAAGACGUUGUCUUUACCCAAGUGUACCUUCUGUAGUUCCUUCUCAUAAGCUAUAAGCUCCCCUUCCAUAAUCUUUGAACUUGUAGACAGGGGGUAUAUGUGGUAGACAUUCAGUAACUGUGAACAACUCAUCGCUGUAACCUUGCUCAUAUUUUUUGUCAAACACCCCUCAACUUGGAUAUACCUACCAAGUCCCCCACUAUGAAUUUAAAAUCAAUUAUUUUCUUACGAUGAAGGGGAACAAACCAUACAGAUUUUAAAAGACCUCGGAGGGUUUCAUCCGCAUACUCUUAUGGUAGCUGUAACCCUUUACUAAAUCUUGAACUAUAUCGAUAUAUCUGUGUGUUGUGAGCUGUAAAGUAUUUCCACAUCCUCUCCUUCAAAGUUAUGUUAAAGCGUUCCACAACUGAAGCUUUCAAAUCCGAACCUGUAGUAAAAUGCACGAUAUUGUGCUUUUUCACGAGUUUCUGAAAAGUAUUAUUGAAAAGAAAAACUCUGUCAGUCUGCACUUUCUUGGAUGCUCCUCCUUCCUUUAAGAGAGUCAAAGGCUCGGGUCACCUCUGCCCCAAUAUUUUUUUUAAAGACCCUUACAAAUGCUAUUUUAGAGAAAAUGUCUAUAGCCGUUAGCAUGUAGCGGUUUCCAUUUUUAUCUGCAAGGGCCUGCAUGACACUCAGAUCUACCUGAAACUGGGACAAGGGAUGGGUAGAAAUUGUUUUCGCACAGGUUUAUGCAGAGUGUGAGCAUCCUGCUUUGCUAGCCAUUCAUUCACUUGAGCAGGGCCUAACCUGCUACCUGUUUCUUUGUCUAUAGCUCUAUGGAACUGCUCCUUCCCCCCAUAAGACCCUGGGUUAGAGGGGGUAUAAUAAAUGUUUUUCAAAAUCUGCUCCGCCAUCCUUCUUGCCUCUGAUGUACAAUAACAUUAAUGAGCCCCUUUCAAAUAACGACAUUUCAUUUUGAAUUUUAUUUUUGCAAACAUCAAGUAUUACAUAUGCAGACAAGUCAGGAUACGUAGCAGGAUAUUAGUGCCCGUUUUCUCAACGACCCAUGCAUGCAACACCUUGUGUACUUGGUUUACAUGUACAGGCUUGUGUCUCUGAAUUUAAGACACACACAUCUGUAAUAUAAGUAUAUAAACAACAAAUAUGUUACAAUUAAAUGGUGUUUCAAACAAAUAAAGUAAAAUCUUAGACAAGGAUGUUUCUAGUUCUUCAGAAUCAUUCAGUUGUGUCCAUUGUAGACUCUCGCCCAUAUCUUACAUGAUUCAUGAUUUGCUCCAUUUUUAGCACACACUCUGCAGUAGCCCAUGUAUUGUGGGUUGUGUAGAACGAUAAAUUGUUCACUUUGUUUUCAAUAAUUUGCUGCAUAACAUUUGUAAGUUCUCUCAAAAGAAAAAAUGUAUUUAUUCUCUAACAUCAUAUGCAUUUUGCUUUACAUCUAAAUAAAAAAUAUUAUUUAUUACUCGUUCUCUUGGUUUAUUGAGCCAGAAAGUCACCACAUCAG